rnacentral:rRNA from 1 species
UACGAAGGGGGCUAGCGUUGCUCGGAAUCACUGGGCGUAAAGCGCACGUAGGCGGAUCGUUAAGUCAGGGGUGAAAUCCUGGAGCUCAACUCCAGAACUGCCUUUGAUACUGGCGACCUUGAGUUCGGGAGAGGUGAGUGGAACUGCGAGUGUAGAGGUGAAAUUCGUAGAUAUCUGGAGGAAUACCGGUGGCGAAGGCGGCAUCCUGGACCGGCAUUGACGCUGAUGUGCGAAAGCUAGGGGAGCAAACGGG